GAUGAACGCUGGCGGCGUGCCUAAUACAUGCAAGUCGAGCGAACAGACGAGGAGCUUGCUCCUCUGACGUUAGCGGCGGACGGGUGAGUAACACGUGGAUAACCUACCUAUAAGACUGGGAUAACUUCGGGAAACCGGAGCUAAUACCGGAUAAUAUAUUGAACCGCAUGGUUCAAUAGUGAAAGACGGUUUUGCUGUCACUUAUAGAUGGAUCCGCGCCGCAUUAGCUAGUUGGUAAGGUAACGGCUUACCAAGGCAACGAUGCGUAGCCGACCUGAGAGGGUGAUGGGCAACACAGGAACUGAGACACGGUCCAGACCCCAGCGGGGGGCGACGGAGGGAAAUCUCCCGCAAGGGGGGAAGCCCUGACGGAGCACCGCCGCGGGAGGAAGAAAGUUUUUCGAAUCUAAAAACUUUUUUAUGAGGGAAAAAAAAAUGUGAAAGUAACUAUGCGCGUCUUGGGGUUACUUAAUAAGAAGCCCACGACAAGCUACGUG
rnacentral:rRNA from 1 species